rnacentral:rRNA from 1 species
GGGUUGUGAGGUUAAGCGACUAAGCGUACACGGUGGAUGCCCUGGCAGUCAGAGGCGAUGAAGGACGUGCUAAUCUGCGAUAAGCGUCGGUAAGGUGAUAUGAACCGUUAUAACCGGCGAUUUCCGAAUGGGGAAACCCAGUGUGAUUCGUCACACUAUCAUUAACUGAAUCCAUAGGUUAAUGAGGCGAACCGGGGGAACUGAAACAUCUAAGUACCCCGAGGAAAAGAAAUCAACCGAGAUUCCCCCAGUAGCGGCGAGCGAACGGGGAGGAGCCCAGAGCCUGAAUCAGUGUGUGUGUUAGUGGAAGCGUCUGGAAAGGCGCGCGAUACAGGGUGACAGCCCCGUACACAAAAAUGCACAUGCUGUGAGCUCGAUGAGUAGGGCGGGACACGUGGUAUCCUGUCUGAAUAUGGGGGGACCAUCCUCCAAGGCUAAAUACUCCUGACUGACCGAUAGUGAACCAGUACCGUGAGGGAAAGGCGAAAAGAACCCCGGCGAGGGGAGUGAAAAAGAACCUGAAACCGUGUACGUACAAGCAGUGGGAGCCUCUUUAUGGGGUGACUGCGUACCUUUUGUAUAAUGGGUCAGCGACUUAUAUUCUGUAGCAAGGUUAACCGAAUAGGGGAGCCGAAGGGAAACCGAGUCUUAACUGGGCGUUAAGUUGCAGGGUAUAGACCCGAAACCCGGUGAUCUAGCCAUGGGCAGGUUGAAGGUUGGGUAACACUAACUGGAGGACCGAACCGACUAAUGUUGAAAAAUUAGCGGAUGACUUGUGGCUGGGGGUGAAAGGCCAAUCAAACCGGGAGAUAGCUGGUUCUCCCCGAAAGCUAUUUAGGUAGCGCCUCGUGAA